rnacentral:rRNA from 1 species
CCUACGGGUGGCUGCAGUGAGGAAUAUUGGUCAAUGGGCGGGAGCCUGAACCAGCCAAGUCGCGUGAAGGAAGAAGGCCCCACGCGUCGUAAACUUCUUUUGUCGGGGAACAAAGUGCGCCACGCGUGGCGUUCUGAAUGUACCCUACGAAAAAGGAUCGGCUAACUCCGUGCCAGCAGCCGCGGUAAUACGGAGGAUGCGAGCGUUAUCCGGAUUUAUUGGGUUUAAAGGGUGCGUAGGCGGUCGGUAAAGUCAGCGGUAAAAGGUCGGGGCUCAACCCCGGAGGGCCGUUGAAACUGGCGGACUUGAGAAGGCGAGAAGUAGGCGGAAUGCGUGGUGUAGCGGUGAAAUGCAUAGAUAUCGCGAAGAACUCCGAUUGCGAAGGCAGCGUACCGGCGCGCGACUGACGCUGAGGCACGAAAGUGGGGGUAUCGAACAGGAUUAGAUACCCGAGUAGUC